rnacentral:tRNA from 1 species
GGGUAUCGCCAAGCGGUAAGGCACCAUCACUCAUAAUGAUGGGGUCACAGGUUCGAAUCCCGUCGUAGCCACCA